rnacentral:rRNA from 1 species
GACGAACGCUGGCGGCGCGCUUAACACAUGCAAGUCGAGCGAGAACCAGUCCUUCGGGACUGGGGACAGCGGCGAACGGGUGAGUAACACGUGGGUAAUCUGCCCUCGGCACCGGAAUAGCCCGGGGAAACCCGGAUUAAUGCCGGAUGGCCUCUCUGCCCCUCGGGGCGGCGAGAAAAGGUAGCUUCGGCCUCCGGCCGAGGAUGAGCCCGCGGCCGAUUAGCUUGGUGGUGGGGUAACGGCUCACCAAGGCGACGAUCGGUAGCUGGGCUGAGAGGACGAUCGGCCGCACUUGGACUGAGACACGGCCCAGCCUCCUACGGGAGGCAGCAGUGGGGAAUCUUGCGCAAUGGGCGAAAGCCUGAUGCAGCGACGCCGCGUGCGGGAAGAAGGCCUUCGGGUUGUAAACCGCUUUCAGGAGGGACGAAGCCACUCGGGUUAAUAGCCUAGAGGGUGACGGUACCUCCAGAAGAAGCCCCGGCUAACUACGUGCCAGCCGCCGCGGUAAAAC